AGAUCAACGGUUUAUUCAUUAGUUAAUGAGGUUUAAAUCAGUUGUAGGAAUUAUUAGGAUUUGGUUUAGGAUUUGGUUAGGAUUUGGUUUGGGAUUUAGGGUUUGGAUUAGGAUUUGAUUUAGGAUUUAGAAUUUUAUUAGGAUUUGAUUUAGGAUUUAGGAUUUAAAUUAGAAUUUGGUUUAGGAUUUAGGAUUUGGAUUAGAAUUUGGUUUAGGGUUUGGUUUAGGAUUUAGGAUUUGGAUAAGGGUUUGAUUUAGGAUUUGGUUAGGAUUUGGUUUAGGGUUUAGGAUUUGAAUUAGGAUUUGGUUUAGGAUUUAGGAUUUAGAUUAGGGUUUGAUUUAGGGUUUAGAAUUUGAUUUAGGAUUUGAUUGGGAUUUGAUUUAAGGUUUGUUUAGGGUUUGAUUUAGGAUUUAGGAUUUUAUUUGGAUUUAAGAUUCAAUUAUUUUUGGUCUAAAGUUUGAAUGAAGUUCAAUAGGAUUUUAACUAGAAUUAAAUUAAGAUUUAAUCGAGAUGUAUUUGAGUGAUAUUUGUGUUCUUUCUAAUGUUUCUUUAAGAAUUCUUAUUGUUUGUUUGAAAUUACUUUGAGAUUUUUUCAGAAUUUGAUUAAGCUUACUUAGCAUUAUUAUAGUGUAAUUAGAGCAUUGUUAGUAUUCUAUUAGAAUUAAGAUUUUGUUAUUGUAAUUUCUAUUCUUCCUUCCACAAUCAGGUGCCCAAAGCAUUUUCAAGCCUGACUUCACAUAUUACGACAACGGCAUUGAUAAGAUUGAAGAAGGCUUCACUCUUGCCUCUAUAUAUACUCUUAAUUAAGAGUUAUGUGACAAUGUCCUA
rnacentral:lncRNA from 1 species